rnacentral:rRNA from 1 species
UACGAAGGGGGCUAGCGUUGCUCGGAAUUACUGGGCGUAAAGGGAGCGUAGGCGGAUAGUUUAGUCAGAGGUGAAAGCCCAGGGCUCAACCUUGGAAUUGCCUUUGAUACUGGCUAUCUUGAGUAUGGGAGAGGUGUGUGGAACUCCGAGUGUAGAGGUGAAAUUCGUAGAUAUUCGCAAGAACACCAGUGGCGAAGGCGGCUCACUGGCUCGAUACUGACGCUGAGGUGCGAAAGCGUGGGGAGCAAACAGG